AGUAAUGCUUAGGAAUCUGCCUAUUAGUGGGGGACAACAUUCCGAAAGGAAUGCUAAUACCGCAUACGCCCUACGGGGGAAAGCAGGGGAUCUUCGGACCUUGCGCUAAUAGAUGAGCCUAAGUCAGAUUAGCUAGUUGGUGGGGUAAAGGCCUACCAAGGCGACGAUCUGUAGCGGGUCUGAGAGGAUGAUCCGCCACACUGGGACUGAGACACGGCCCAGACUCCUACGGGAGGCAGCAGUGGGGAAUAUUGGACAAUGGGCGAAAGCCUGAUCCAGCCAUGCCGCGUGUGUGAAGAAGGCCUUUUGGUUGUAAAGCACUUUAAGCGAGGAGGAGGCUACUUGGAUUAAUACUCUAGGAUAGUGGACGUUACUCGCAGAAUAAGCACCGGCUAACUCUGUGCCAGCAGCCGCGGUAAUACAGAGGGUGCGAGCGUUAAUCGGAUUUACUGGGCGUAAAG
rnacentral:rRNA from 1 species